AGAGUUUGAUUAUGGCUCAGGAUGAACGCUGGCGGCGUGCCUAACACAUGCAAGUCGAACGGACCUAUCAUUAACAGAGACUUCGGUUGAAGUUGGUUUAGGUAGUGGCGGACGGGUGAGUAACGCGUGGAGAACCUGCCCUGUACUGGGGGAUAACAGUGAGAAAUCACUGCUAAUACCGCAUAAGCGCACGGAACCGCAUGGUUUUGUGUGAAAAACUCCGGUGGUACAGGAUGGCUCCGCGUUGGAUUAGCCAGUUGGCGGGGUAACGGCCCACCAAAGCUACGAUCCAUAGCCGGCCUGAGAGGGUGAACGGCCACAUUGGGACUGAGACACGGCCCAGACUCCUACGGGAGGCAGCAGUGGGGAAUAUUGCACAAUGGGGGAAACCCUGAUGCAGCGACGCCGCGUGAAGGAAGAAGUAUCUCGGUAUGUAAACUUCUAUCAGCAGGGAAGAAAAUGACGGUACCUGACUAAGAAGCCCCGGCUAACUACGUGCCAGCAGCCGC
rnacentral:rRNA from 1 species